AGAGAGAGACAUGCGCGCAUAUCAAUAAGCGGAGGAAAAGAAACUAACAAGGAUUCCCCUAGUAACGGCGAGUGAAGCGGGAAGAGCUCAAAUUUGAAAUCUUAAAGGGUUUCCCUUUACGAAUUGUAGUUUAAAGAAGUGUUUUCUGUUGAGGUUUUGGUAAAAGUUCUUUGGAAUAGGACAUCAUAGAGGGUGAGAAUCCCGUAUUUGACCUUUACUUUCAACUUUGUGAUACACUUUCAAAGAGUCGGAUUGUUUGGGAAUGCAGUCCAAAAUGGGUGGUAAAUUUCAUCUAAAGCUAAAUAUUGGCGAGAGACCGAUAGCGAACAAGUACCGUGAGGGAAAGAUGAAAAGAACUUUGAAAAGAGAGUUAAACAGUACGUGAAAUUGUCAAAAGGGAAGCGUUUGACACCAGUGUUGUUUUUCUGAAAAUCAAUUAAAGAACUGUUUAUGCUAAGUUGUUUAGACUUUAUCAGCUAACUGUUUAGUUUUGAGCUUUUCUUUAAUGCACUUUUCAGUUAACAAGUCAACAUCAAUUUCUUUCGCUGUAAAAAAGCUUGAGGAAGGUGGCUUGAGAUUCGUCUUAAGUGUUUAUAGCCUCUUGCCUAUGCAGUCGGAGAGAUUGAGGUCUGCAGCGUAGAUCCUUCGGGGCUAAAUGCAUUUGUGCUAAGUUAUAGCAUUUUAUAGACAACUUGUUGACUAUGAUUUGUCUUGUAGCUUACUCGCUUAUGUUAUUUUACCUACGCUUAGGAUGUUGACGCAUGAGAUAUACGC
rnacentral:rRNA from 1 species